rnacentral:rRNA from 1 species
GAGGGGCCUGCGUCCCAUCAGCUAGUUGGUAAGGUAAAGGCUUACCAAGGCUAUGACGGGUAGGGGACCUGAGAGGGUGGCCCCCCACAAUGGAACUGAAACACGGUCCAUACACCUACGGGUGGCAGCAGUAGGGAAUAUUAGUAAUGGGCGAAAGCCUGAACUAGCAACGCCGCGUGUGCGAAGAAGGCCUUCGGGUUGUAAAGCACUUUUUGAGAGGAUGAGGAAGGACGGUACUCUCAGAAUAAGUCUCGGCUAACUACGUGCCAGCAGCCGCGGUAACACGUAGGAGGCGAACGUUAUCCGGAUUUACUGGGCGUAAAGCGCGUGUAGGUGGUUUGGUAAGUAGGGCGUGAAAGCUCCUGGCUCAACUGGGAGAGGCCGUUCUAAACUGCCGAACUAGAGGAUGGUAGAGGGAGGUGGAAUUCCGGGUGUAGCGGUGGAAUGCGCAGAUAUCCGGAGGAACACCAGUGGCGAAAGCGGCCUCCUGGACCACUCCUGACACUCAGACGCGAAAGCUAGGGUAGCAAACGGGAUUAGAGACCCCGGUAGUCCUAGCCCUAAA